GCUCCCGUGGUGUAGUCCGGCCAAUCAUUCUGGCCUUUCGAGCCAGCUACACGGGUUCGAAUCCCGUCGGGAGCA
rfam:Thermoplasmatales archaeon SCGC AB-539-C06 MBGDC06_Contig2.2, whole genome shotgun sequence.